CGCCACCGGACUGCGACAUACGCGUCAACGUGCAGGGCGCCGCUGAUGCCACACAGGCGAGGGGUGACGUCACCGUGGAGGACGCCGAGCUCAGCCUCUCACCUCCUGUCUGCAGGCAGCUGAUGCGCUCGGCCGGUGUGAGCGGGGCCGGGGCCCGCCUGCUGCGCGCCCUCUCCCGGCACGCACCCUGCCGGAAGUGGAGCGACCAGCAGCGGGCCGGCUACAGCACGCCCCGAGACUACGCCGCCGGCGACGGCGGACCCCGCGGGGACGUCAUGAGCCGAGAGGACUGGCGGGUGCCGGCUGAGUUUCUGCCCGGCAGGCUGAAGGGUAACGCCCGCGCCCGC